rnacentral:rRNA from 1 species
CAAGAGCGUAUAUUAAAGUUGCUGCGGUUAAGAAGCUCGUAGUUGGAUUUCAGUCUAGGAAGGUUAACUCGCCGAAAGGUUGUACGUUGAUUUUCCUCAGACUUCGUCAGAAGCUCGUGCUGCACUUAACUGUGUGGUACGAUGUUCUGACCUUUUACCUUGAGGAAAGUAGAGUGUUUCAGGCAGGCUACCCAGCUUGAAUACAUUAGCAUGGAAUAAUGAAAUGGAUCUCGGUUCGAUUUCGUUGGUUCUAGAGCUGAGGUGAUGAUCAAUAGGAACAGGCGAAGGUAUUCGUACUUGAGAGUGAGGAGUGAAAUCCGAUGAUCUCUUAAAGACGAUCCGAGGCGAAAGCAUUUGUCAAGGAUGUUUUCAUUGA